UAUGUAUUAUUUAAAUUAUUAGAUUACUACUUUAUCGGAGAUAUACUUUACAAAUUAAUUUAAGUAUUUUAUCGUUAGAUAGCGUUGUCGUUUACAAAUCUUUAGUUCUGAUUUCUAGGUUAUUACUGGCGCUACGAUUUUAUUCUAUUGAGUUCUUGAUAACGUUGUUCGUAAUAGAAAAAUGGUAAGCAAUCUGAACGAGAAGUAUUUGAUAGUUAUUAAAUCUAUGAUACGACUCGUUAGCGUUAAAAGAUAAUGUGAUAUCAUAAUAGACGAAAAAUAUACGUUUAAGUAUAUUAGUCAAGGCGUAGUCAUCGUAUUUGGGUUAUAAAAAAAAAAAAAAACAAAAAAAAAAAAAGAAAAAUAAAAAAGAACAAACAAACAAAAAACAAAUUUUUUUCUACGCAAUGGCGAAUGAUCGAGAAGUUUUGAGAGAAAUUUGGGAUGGUAAAAUUCCCGUUUGUUUUACACUCGAUACCGAGGAAACGUGCGAAUUACAAGGUCCUGAUCCGUUUUAUCUUAUGGUGCCUAGAUUAAGUUAUUUUCCAGUGUGCACAGAGAAGGUGAGAAAACAUUUUAUAAAACAUAUAGAAAGUGAUAGCAAACAGGAUCAUGAAAUGUGGUUAGAAUUUAAUGGAAUUCCAUUAAAGUGGCACUAUCCCAUUGGUGUAUUAUUAGAUAUAUAUUCGAAUGACAUUCAAUUACCAUGGAAUAUUGUUGUUCAUUUUGAUAAAUUUCCAGAAAAUGUCUUGAUGCAUUGUCAGAACAAAGAAGUUGUAGAAUCACAUUUUCUUGCUUGCGUUAAAGAGGCAGAUGUUUUAAAACAUAGAGGACAGAUUGUGUCGGCUAUGCAAAAAAAGGAACACAGCAGUUUAUGGAAUGGAUUAAUUACCGAUAAAUUCGAUCAAUUUUGGUCUAUAAAUCGAAGAUUAAUGGAAGCAGCUAAUAGCGAAGAAGGAUUCAAAUAUAUCCCUUUUCGAUGCUACACAAGCGAGGAUAAAUAUAUUCAAAAGCUUGUUAAACCAGUUAAUGAAGAAGGCCAAAGGAAAACGUUGAAACAUUUAUUGAACGAAGUAUUUCCGGAUCAAGAAAAUGUUGAAGUGCGUACUCAUGGAAUUAUACCAUCACCGGAGACACCAUUGCAAUGGAUGUCAGAACAUUUAAGCUAUCCUGAUAAUUUUCUUCAUUUAGUUGUGACUUCUUCAUAACCUAUAUUGAAGAGAUGUGAUAAACUAUAACUUCAGUGUUAUUAUUUAAUAUUGCUGCUAUAGUACAAUUCUCAUGAGGCUUACGAUACAUUCUCAAUAUUCGCAAUGGCAAAGGAUCACUUACUUCUGAAACUUCGAGAGGUCUACGUAUUAUUACCGGUUGAUUUCCAUAAUUACUAUACUCCAUUGUUCUACGACUUGCUCCAAAGCUCAAAUAGUUUACUUCUUUUUUGCUCUGAUGUUCCUAUAAUAAAAAGUUAAGAUAUAUUGAUCAUGGAACGAUAUCCUUUGAUUUUUCUUUUGCGAACUGAAAAAAAGAAAGAAAAAG